GCAGAACCUCGGUCACGGCUCAGCCCCCGGACCCGAGACCUAGAGAGAGGAGGGGGAUUUGGCCAAGGUCACGCGGCCAUUCAGGGCUGGAAGUCAGGGCUCCCGCCUCCCAGUUCUGAACACUUACCCCCCAAAUUACUACUACUCGCCGAAGCUUUGUUGAGAAACAGAGCAUUGAGGCUUGACAAACUUGGGGCCAAGCCCUUUAUCGGCCUGAUCAGAUUCCGUUCCUCAGUAGCCCCAUCAGGUCGGUGACCCUACUUGGUCACUUUCUGGAGGGAAGAGAGCCCAGAGAAAUUCAGUUCUAUAACCAAGGUCGCACAGCUAGUCAAUUGUGAAGUCGGGAUUCGAACCUGGACCAGCAGGUGGACCCAACCUAACCUGGACCUCUGAACGAAGGUAAUGUUAAGUUGUGACCAGAAAGACAAACGGAAUCCAGUAAGACUAAGAAGAAAUUAAUUACCUUAAGCUGAGCUGGACACUGUCAUCCCACCUACAAGACGUGGAACUGGGACCCACAGAGGCUCCAUGACGUGGCCUGCGUACCACGGCUGUUUAGUGCCUGCACUCAGACUGGAACUCAGGUUUCCUGACCCCAUCCUGUGUCCUGGAUCCCUUAAACAAACUCACUUCUUUUGGGUUUAACGGCACAUUUGGGUCUUCAGAAGGCUUCUUUGAACGUGAGAGUGUGCUCCUGACCUUCCAGGCAGCUCCUCUUCCCAGCAAAGUCAAGCCAAGAGUUUACCUUAACCCCUGAAGAGAAAGGUAUAGGAAGGAAAGGCACCGUUACUAUGAUUAUUCUUUGUUAAGUGGCUAGAGUCCUGGUCUACUAGUAAGAAGAGGAGAGGUAGUUCUGGCUGGGGUAUAUGACCUCGCACUUUGGUUUAGUUUUAUACCUAUCUGUACAAUAGUAGAGAGACGGGGAUGGGACUAAAUGAUCUGGUAAGAUUCUCUUUGUCCUUGCAUGUGAAGCCUCUGAGCCUCUACCAUUCGAAGAUUCCAUUUACUGUCGAAGAGUCUGUGAGUGUUUGUUUCAAGCUUCUAUGAGAUUAGGAUUCUGUAACAGUGAGAGCCUCGUCCUGGGGUUCCAAGAUCCCAUGACUCACUCAAAAUUCUAUUGAAAGAUUCCAUUUGCUCUUAACUAUUCUUGUGGGUUUCUCCUUAAAUAGCACUUCCUCAGAAAUUCCUUCCUAACCCUUCCCCCAGCGCACUUUAUACACCCCUCCCCAUUGUCUCCCCUGGGAUCUCGUUUUUUUUCCCAUCAUAACACAGUCCUAAUUGGUAAUUAGAUAUUUGCUUGUGUGCUUUUGGUUAAUGCCUGUCUUCUCCACAUCUCUAUUGCUUGGUAAAGUCAAUACUCAGUGAAUAUUUGAUGAAUGAAAAAUAAAUGAAUG
rnacentral:lncRNA from 1 species